rnacentral:rRNA from 1 species
GACUCUCGGCAACGGAUAUCUUGGCUCUCGCAUCGAUGAAGAACGCAGCGAAAUGCGAUACUUGGUGUGAAUUGCAGAAUCCCGUGAACCAUCGAGUCUUUGAACGCAAGUUGCGCCCGAGGCUAUCCGGCCGAGGGCACGCC